AUUGAACGCUGGCGGCAUGCCUUACACAUACAAGUCGAACGGCAGCGGGGACUUCGGUCCGCCGGCGAGUGGCGAACGGGUGAGUAAUGCAUCGGAACGUACCCGGAAGUGGGGGAUAACGUAGCGAAAGUUACGCUAAUACCGCAUAUUCUGUGAGCAGGAAAGAGGGGGAUCUUCGGACCUCUUGCUUUCGGAGCGGCCGAUGUCAGAUUAGCUAGUUGGUGAGGUAAAGGCUCACCAAGGCGACGAUCUGUAGCGGGUCUGAGAGGAUGAUCCGCCACACUGGAACUGAGACACGGUCCAGACUCCUACGGGAGGCAGCAGUGGGGAAUUUUGGACAAUGGGCGCAAGCCUGAUCCAGCCAUGCCGCGUGAGUGAAGAAGGCCUUCGGGUUGUAAAGCUCUUUCGGCCGGGAAGAAAUCGCAUGGAUUAAUACUCCGUGCGGAUGACGGUACCGGCAUAAGAAGCACCGGCUAACUACGUGCCAGCAGCCGCGGUAAAAC
rnacentral:rRNA from 1 species